CAAGCUCGUGAAAAGUUUCUUUCACUGAGAAAAAGUACAAAGAGUAAUAUUGCCAAUGUUUUGGAAGAGGAACUUCAUAAUGCAAGGUCAACAUUUGAGCAAGCUCGUUUUAAUCUAGUAACUGCUCUUUCAAAUGUUGAAGCCAAAAAACGAUUUGAGUUUUUGGAAGCUGUCAGUGGGACUAUGGAUGUGCAUCUUCGAUACUUCAAACAGGGCUAUUAAUUAUUGCAUCAAAUGGAGCCAUACAUUAAUCAGGUUUGUUAUCAUAA